GCCUACGGCCAUACCACCCUGAAAGCGCCCGAUCUCGUCUGAUCUCGGAAGCUAAGCAGGGACGGGCUUGGUUAGUACCUGGAUGGGAGACCGCCUGGGAAUACCAGGUGUUGUAGGC
rnacentral:rRNA from 17 species